rnacentral:rRNA from 1 species
GGUUAAGCGACUAAGCGUACACGGUGGAUGCCCUGGCAGUCAGAGGCGAUGAAGGACGUGCUAAUCUGCGAUAAGCGUCGGUAAGGUGAUAUGAACCGUUAUAACCGGCGAUUUCCGAAUGGGGAAACCCAGUGUGAUUCGUCACACUAUCAUUAACUGAAUCCAUAGGUUAAUGAGGCGAACCGGGGGAACUGAAACAUCUAAGUACCCCGAGGAAAAGAAAUCAACCGAGAUUCCCCCAGUAGCGGCGAGCGAACGGGGAGCAGCCCAGAGCCUGAAUCAGUGUGUGUGUUAGUGGAAGCGUCUGGAAAGGCGUGCGAUACAGGGUGACAGCCCCGUACACAAAAAUGCACAUACUGUGAGCUCGAUGAGUAGGGCGGGACACGUGGUAUCCUGUCUGAAUAUGGGGGGACCAUCCUCCAAGGCUAAAUACUCCUGACUGACCGAUAGUGAACCAGUACCGUGAGGGAAAGGCGAAAAGAACCCCGGCGAGGGGAGUGAAAAAGAACCUGAAACCGUGUACGUACAAGCAGUGGGAGCACGCUUAGGCGUGUGACUGCGUACCUUUUGUAUAAUGGGUCAGCGACUUAUA